AAAAAUACUGCACAGUUUGAGUUAAUACUGGGUCGAUCCAUUUCCGAGUUUAUAUGAGUGCUACGACCUUUAAUCAAUAAAAUUAUAAAUUUCAUAUCUUUCCAGAAUAAGUAAAAACUUAAAAAAUAUAAAAAUUAAAAUUAACAAGCUUCGUGUAUUCUAUGAGUGUUAAAAAUUAAUUUGGUAUACAUACUUUAAUUUUAUAUUGUGGUCUGUAGUACAUACCUUAUUCUGAAUUUAUCAAUGAACACAAUAAUCAUUGCACUUGUAUAUUUAAUGAAUGAUCUACAAGCAUUCCGCCGCUCGCGAGUCGCCGUAGGUAUAUAACAUUCGAAGAACUUGCAUUGUUCUGUGCUAAUCUAAAUAUGCCUAUCUAAUUUUAUAAAACAUCCA